CCCCAGAUAACUCGCUAAAUUUUUUAUAAUCAUUCUUCGAGUGUAUUUUAUCGUACAUGAUGAUCCACUUCGUCUUAUCAAUUAACUGGAACAUCUCGAUGUUAUUUUCGAUAAUAUUAAAAUAUGUUUAAUACCGAUGAUAUUAAAAAACAUUAAAUAUCGAUAAUAUUAAGAAAUGUUUCACGUGUUAAAAAAAUGUAUACAAGUCGAAUGUUUUCGUGGGGGACAUAAUUUAACAUGAUUAGUGUUUCCGUAUGUGAACGCGCAGAGGACAUGCGAAGGUUGUUAGGCGCGGAGCGAUGUUUUUGUGUUGCUCAAUAAGGCUGUGGACGAGAGCAAGGUCUAGAGGGCUUGCAGUGUUGCCACGCUUCCCAACCGGCUUUCGUGUAAACAAGACAUAUUGCGGCAACAUUGUGCCACGUUUCGGGUAACGUGGCAUCAUCUCGUGUUACCUGGUGUUUCGAACCCAUAGAACCUUUAGACUGAAAAAAUCCGCGAAAGCAAUCAUGCUGCAAAUAACUGCGGUCCUUUACUGUCACAUUUCAUAUGCUAGAGUCGAUGCUUCGAACAUACUAACUGUUUCACUUGUUUGCGCGUUAACUAUUUGUACGAUGUAAAAUAUUUUUAAAGGUUAGACAAUUUUAUAAAUUUUACAAUCUGUUAAACAUUCUAGAAAUGCAGAUAUCAAUUUUACAUAUCUAUCACUCUUGCUCGUAUCGCUUUCUGAUAACUGUAUUCAAUGAAUUAUAGGUUAUGAUACGUUAUAUGUAGACUGGGAAUUUCUAUGCAUUUAUGGUAAAUUUAAAGAUGCAGGAAUGCAUGGAACAUCCAUAACAUGGAAAAAUAUAUAAAAUCUUCCAAAUAUAGCACCCGUUAUAAUAUCUAAUAAGCGAAACAAAUUUCUCUCUCUACUCUUUUAGUUAUCUUUAUGAAAAUAUAAAUUUACAUAAGUAUCUGCAGUCUAAUUACAUGUAAUAUUUUGUGUAUAACAAAAAAGAGAGAAAAAAUGUUAUAUUACAACUUUCUAAUAAAGCUUGAAGCAACUUA
rnacentral:misc_RNA from 1 species